CGCGAUGCUGCAACCGUGAAGAGCAGAUCCGCGUCUUCUCCCUUUCCUGGUGGCAGACGGUACAAUAUAGACUGCUAUCCGUCAUCACCAUCAGCCCAUGAAUGCUCCUUGAUAACUGCUGAUUAC